rnacentral:rRNA from 1 species
GAUGAACGCUGGCGGCGUGCCUAAUACAUGCAAGUCGAGCGAACAGACGAGGAGCUUGCUCCUCUUGCGUUAGCGGCGGACGGGUGAGUAACACGUGGAGAACCUACCUAUAAGACUGGGAUAACUUCGGGAAACCGGAGCUAAUACCGCAUAAUAUCUUUAACCGCAUGGUUCAAUAGUGAAAGAUGGUUUUGCUGUCACUAAUAGAUGUAUCCGCGCAGCAUUAGGUAGUUGGUAAGGUAACGGCUUACCAAGGCAACGAUGCGUAGCCGACCUGAGAGGGUGAUCGGCCACGCGGGAGCGGAGACACGCUACAGACUCCUACAGGAAGCAGCAGUAGGGAAUCGUCCGCGAUGGGAGAAAGGAUGACGGAGCAACGCCGCGGGAGUGAUGAAGGUCUUCGGAUAGUAAAACUCUGUUAGUAGAGAAGAACAAAUGUGUAAGUAACUAUGCCAGUCGAGACGGUACCUAAUGAGAAAGCCGCGGAUAACUGUG